rnacentral:rRNA from 1 species
ACGUUCGUUUUGGGAUAGCGAGAGGUUUUAUCUUUGAUUCUGCCUUGUGUUGUUUGUNAAAUUGGUCUCCGCCGCGGAAUUUAUUUUCCACGCUAGGCGUUCCAAGACAACAACAACAAACAAUGGUUAGAUACGAUAAGAGACAACCUCGAUCUCCUUUCCCCACUGAACUUGUUGUCAGCGGCAGCAGCAGUAGUGCUUUAGACAGCUCGACGGCGGCGGUGGCGGUGGCGGUAAUAAGGAUCUCCUCGCACUGACUGGCGACAGAGCAACUCCGAUAGUAGCCGUCAUUGUGGCUCCUCCUGACUAUACGAGGCAAUUUAAAGCUAUAUCUCUCUCCCUCAUCUUUUCUUGCAGUUUUCUUUUCGCUUCAGAACCCCGUCCGUCGGGCGAAAGGGAAUCCGGUUCCUAUUCCGGAACCCGGUUGCGGGACCGUUCUCUCGAUCCUCGUAUUGACGCGGUAACGCUAAAGACCCCAGAGAUGCCGUCUGGAGCCCCGGGAAGAGUUUUCUUUUCUGUUUGAGCGUUCGGGUUCCAUGGAAUCCUCUCGUAGGGAGAUAUGGAAUGGAGCGCGAAGAGCACCGCAGUUGCUGCGGUGUCCGGGGAGUCCCGUCGGCCCUUGAAAAUCUGGGUGAGGGUCACGUGGAGGCGCCGCACCGGCUCGUACCCAUAUCCGCAGCAGGUCUCCGAGGUCCAGAGCCUCUGGUCGAUAGAC